rnacentral:rRNA from 1 species
GGUUAAAAAGCUCGUAGUUGGAUCUCGCGGUCUGAGGGCGGUUCGCUUGAUUGAGUGCUACUGCUCUAUAGGCCGUGGUUUUGCCAGAGGUCUCGGGGUGCUCUUAACCGAGUGUCCUGCGAUGCUGGCAGGUUUACUUUGAAAAAAUUAGAGUGCUCAAAGCAGGCUUUUACGCCUGAAUAUUCGUGCAUGGAAUAAUAGAAUAGGAAGUCGUUUCUAUUUUGUUGGUUUUCGGAAAUCGACUUAAUGAUUAAUAGGGACAGUCGGGGGCAUUUGUAUUCAAACGACAGAGGUGAAAUUCUUGGACCGU